rnacentral:rRNA from 1 species
UACGAAGGGGGCUAGCGUUGCUCGGAAUUACUGGGCGUAAAGGGAGCGUAGGCGGACAUUUAAGUCAGGGGUGAAAUCCCAAGAGCUCAACUCUGGAACUGCCUUUGAUACUGGAUGUCUUGAGUGUGAGAGAGGUAUGUGGAACUCCGAGUGUAGAGGUGAAAUUCGUAGAUAUUCGGAAGAACACCAGUGGCGAAGGCGACAUACUGGCUCAUUACUGACGCUGAGGCUCGAAAGCGUGGGGAGCAAACAGG